CCUACGGGAGGCAGCAGUGGGGGAUAUUGCACAAUGGGGGGAACCCUGAUGCAGCGACGCCGCGUGGGUGAAGGAGCGUUUCGGCGCGUAAAGCCCUGUCGGCAGGGAAGAAGAUGACGGUACCUGACCAAGAAGCCCCGGCUAACUACGUGCCAGCAGCCGCGGUAAAACGGAGGGGGCGAGCGUUAGCCGGAUUUACUGGGUGUAAAGGGGGCGCAGACGGCAAUGCGAGCCAGGAGUGAAAGCCCCGGGCCCAACCCCGGGAUUGCUCUUGGAACUGCAUGGCUGGAGUACAGGAGGGGCAGGCGGAAUUCCUAGUGUAGCGGUGAAAUGCGUAGAUAUUAGGAGGAACACCGGUGGCGAAGGCGGCCUUCUGGACUGUGACUGACGUUGAGGCCCGAAGGCGUGGGGAGCAAACAGGAUUAGAUACCCCGGUAGUC
rnacentral:rRNA from 1 species